GUAGUAUUCCCUCCGUCCCAAAAUUCUUGUCUUACAUUUCAUUAGAUACGGAUGUAUCUAACACUAAAAUGUAACUAGAUACAUCCGUAUUUAGACAAAUUUAAGACAAGAAUUUUGGGACGGAGGGAGUACAAA
rfam:Triticum aestivum genome assembly, contig: Triticum_aestivum_CS42_TGACv1_scaffold_407367_5BL